rnacentral:lncRNA from 1 species
CAUCUGUGCUUUGUCUGCUUCUGAUGUUUGCUCUUCCUGUGAUCUCUGCCUUUUAGUGUGCCUUAUAGUUUUUUCCUUGAUAGCCAGACAUGAUGCACUGGGUAAAAGGAGCUGCUGUAAAUAGACCUUUAUUAAUGUGGUGCUGAGAUGGGGGGGUGAGGGGAAGUUUUCUGUAGUCCUAUGAUUAGGUCUCAGUAUUUUAGUGAGCCUAUGCCUAUGGACUGUGAGCUUCGCAUGGGCUUCUCGUUCUUCUUUCCUUAUGUGGGGCAGGAUGACUAGAAUGGGCUUCAGUUGGGUAUUUCCCUUUCCCUAAGUCAGUUAGGCUCUGAUAAAACCCCAGCAGGUAAGGCUCUAGUUACACAGUUACACCUGUGGGCAGACGUUAAGAAGAACAGUGCUGAGAUAUUUCAAAAUGGUUCCUUUUCCUCUCUCCCUGCUGGAAGCUUGAGGAUUUUUCUCCCAUAUUUACUGUGAGAAUCUGGCUGAGCUCCUGGAGGUGAAACUCACAGUAGUGUGGUGGGCCCACCUAUGACUGGAUCCUCUUGGAGUUUUUAAUUCUUGGACUUGUCCACAGUGAACCUCCAGCAAUUUGUCAGUUACAGUUGAAGUUUUCCUCUCCCGGGACCAGUUCUGGAGGAGGUUUCAGCUCUUGAGUUUUGCUUGGCCUAUGCUGAGCAAGGAACUAUUAUUAGUGUUGGUGAUACCAAAAUUUGAAGACAAAAUUGCCUGUCACUGUGGAGCUUCCACUAUGUAAAACUGUCAAUGCUGUGCUAAAUGCCACCUUUAGUAGGAACCGUCUGCCCAGCCCAUACCUAGAACCUCAGACUUGCCUGAAAUUGGCCCUUCCUACAGGACAUUGCUGCUGUGGGGUGUUGUCCUCCUUUCUGUGACAUUUCUCUUGUCUGUGAUUUUUUUUCUGCUAAAUUCCUAUUGCCUCAACAGUUUGUCGAUGUCUUCGAACAGUGUUUCUGUUUUGUAUUUUAUAUGGAUUUUCUACUUGUGCUGGUGGAAGAAUUAAUCUCCCAAAAGGGACUCAGUCUCAUCAUGUGAUAUACUGUUAAAUAUCAGAAAGAAGAGAGCCAAUUCUAUAAAUGUUGGUCUGAAGACACGCAUACACACACUCGCAAAUACUCUAAACAUACAUGCAAUUAUUAAGAUGAGUGCUGUUCAUUUUUAUUCUAGAAGUGAUAUUUUUAAUUUUAACUUUGUUGAAUAUUAUGUUCCUGUAGUUUCCAAAAUUUCAGACAAUGAAAAUGGAAAGCCAUCCUCAGCAGAAGUAAAUUUAAAUAGUAAAGGAGUAUGUUUUAUUAUGAGACGCAUGGGCACUAUGGAAAUUAGAUGACAUAAUAUAUUUAUUUGGAGUUUUUAAUUUUUUUUUUUUUUUGGUGAGGAAGAUUCACCCUGAGCUAACAUCCUUUGCCAAUCAUCGUCUUUUUUUUUGCUUGAGGAAGAUAUGCCCUGAGCUGACAUCUUGCCAACCCUCCUCUAUUUUGUAUGUGGGAUGCCACCACAGCAUGGCUGAUGAGUGGAGGAGGUCCGUGCCUAGGAUCCAAAACCACAAACCCAGGCUGCCGAAGUGGAACACAUGGAACUUUAACCACUUAGCCAUGGGGAUGGCCCCUAAAUUAUUCUUGUAUAAUGCAAGGACAAAAAUAUAUUUAAUGAUGGUAAAACAUUUUGUUUUAAUCUAUCAAAAAUAGCUUUAGAUAUUAUGUAACAUUUUAGAUAGUGACUUCAUUGUAACGUGUUAUUUUUUCAUAAAUAAAAGUUUUAUUAUUAACUAGAGUGAGCAUGGCUUUCUAAAGAUCAUGUUGGUUAUCUUUGGUUUUCCUGGGAGGAAAAGGACUCUGUGCCCCUGGUAUUUUAGAUAAUAGAUUUUUGGCUAUGAACAGUUGAAUUACUUACGAGAUUGCUUUUUAAAUAAUACAUGAGUUUGAAUCCUAUGAUAACAUUUUCAAAAGAUAAUUAUUUGAUAAAGGAAUGGAUUUGAAGGCAUGUAAGAAUCUUGUGACUCCUUGUGUUCUAAACAUUGUAAGUGCCUGUCUCAAGAGCUUGUAAAAUGAGUAUGCUUUGUUGGUUGAUGUUCAUUGGUUUGUGGUUAUUUUAACUGAAAUUGACAGUAAUAUACUGUCUGUGUGUAUAUACUAUAUAUACAUGUGUGUGUAUAUACAGUGUAUAUAUGCAUUGUAUAUAUACAAUUGUAUAUACGUUGUGGCUGUUUCAGUUUCAAUCAUGCAAAGAUCAACAACAAGCAAUCUAUCUUCAGAAUAUUUAGUUUCUAUGAAAGGUAGUGGCAGAAAGAUUAUGUUGAUUAUUUUAAAGCUGUCUGUUUUUAUUUGAGAGAAAUUUAAACUGUCUGCAUCCUGUAUUAAGAUGUCUUUAUAAGUUUUCAACUUUUGAUGGAAGAACACAGUUAAAUAAUAUGAUUUAGCUUGUUUUAAACUAUUGGGUUUAUAAAUAUUGUUACCCGGGUAAUGAUUCCAUUUAAUAAAAACAUUCUUUGAGUGAAUUAGAUCUGAGACAUUAAAAAGUUCAGUUAAUAAUAACCUACACAGCGGAUGCAAAACAGAAGUAACCUUUGCUUAUUAGAAGGUCUGCCUUCAUUUUUUUUUAUAGGAGAGAGUAGCUUUAAUGGAUGUGCAAAAUGCAGAGUAAUCAGAGAAGUAAAUUAGGUCAAAAUAACUAAAUGAGGAUUUUG